rnacentral:rRNA from 1 species
UUUGCCUCCCCCAGUCCUGAAGAGUUCGAACGUCUUCUCUAUUCGAUCCAUCGUUCGACGAGGUUCCGGGGUCCUGCGGUACCGGUGUUUGGGGCCGGAGAAGUCGCUCACCGGUACCUUCUCCGAACCGUCGAAGUUCAUGCACCACGACCGCGGUACCCACCGCGUGCCGUAGGUCGUCCACCGCUCGUUCCCCACCGCGCUCCGCCUGGACCCCAUGGACCACUAGGAGGGCAGCUACUACGAGGCCCGCGAGGUGUUGGUCCGGACCUAGUGCCACAGGGCGGAGGUCUUGCGCGCGCCGUUCGCCGUCUAGCAGCUGGCGCCGUAGCUCAAGCUCGUCUAGCUGGCGCUCGCGUUGACCCUGCUGGUCUAGUAGGACUCGCGGUAGGAGAAGAAGGACCCGCGCGACGUGGACGGCCCGCCCGUCCUGGACGGCGACACCUCCUGCCUGCCGCGCCACGACUAGCGCGACGACGUGCGGCCGGGGCACCUCAAGUAGAUGAUGACCAAGGUGGCGCGCGACGUGGUGGUGAAGGAGAUGUGCGCGAUGGUGAGCGUGGUGGUGCGGAGGUAGCAGUGGCUCGGGUAGUGGAGGCACUAAGUAGGUAAACGGCUCGACCACCGGAUGCUUGACGAGAAGAGCUAGGGCUACUAGCGGACGCGAGACUGUCCUUGACGCAGGUAGUACUGCAAACUCGAGAUGUACGAGAUGUAGCUGAAGUACUUGUUGUACCCGGUGACGUUGAAGCUCGACCACGGGUGGACCGAGAAGUGUACCAAGGGAGGAGAGUUCAUAGAGUACAUGUGUGGUAGCAAGGUAAGAGAGGUGGUGUGGGUCAAGGCCUGUUUGAUGAGAGAAAAGUACGGCAAGAUGCUGAUGUAUAUGUUGUGUUACCUGUUCAGCAGUCUGUGCGACGUACUCUUUAGUUAGCUCCUGUUCCUCCUCCGGCAUCUACACCAAGUGGAGUGGGUAGAGUGGUCGGACGUCAGGUAGAUGGUGUAGUCCGGGCCCAAGCGGCUCAAGCGGAGGUCCGGCAUGCGGAGUUUCACCAUGUACGCCUAGUACACCGGAGAGAGCACCGAGAGGUACCAGGAGUGCACCCGCAUACCUAGAACCAAGUGGCAACUCUCCUUACAGUACUUCUUUGAGUCUUAGGUCAGAACCCGGUAUGGUUCUAUGUCAAAGGUAAUACCUGACUUGACCCUCUUCCUUCGUUAAUUAUUGGACUAACACUUCCGUUAUACGCUUCGACUGUUCUUCCCCCGAUUUCAACAAUCAGAACCGGAGGACUUAGUCCGUGUCUCGGAGUUGCCUUCACCUCUUGAAAUAGAUGUCUUCAUGGGUUUCAACUUCAAUUUUGACCACCUACCUUCGUCAGAUCGACGACAUCACCAACGGUUAUCGUAGGGGGUUCCGUGCCUAGUUCAACAAGAAAGUCCUUUGUAAAGGUUCCACCGGACACGACACCGACGUCGAGACACGUUCUUUUUAUAGUUCCACUAUUAUUGUUUGUUCGUUCUGAUAGUAAAGGAAGUCGGCUUUUAUGGUCUUCUACGUCGACUGUUGGAAAAUGACAGCUUAUGGCCGUAACGGUUCCACACCUAUUAGCCUCUGCCACGUCUACGGUCGCUUGUCGAGUCCCGCGGCUUUCCUUGUGCCAAGUAGGGCAUGAGUGUCAAGGGUGGUUCUUACCGUGCGUUCCUGCCGACGUGUAUGAGCUGCUGAGGUCGCUACUCGCACGGAUUUUGUGACGUCUUACAAGUAAGCACGCUCUUGACCGACGGUUCCUCCCACUACUCGCGCACCGCGCAGCGCCCCUAGCAGGUACGCAACCUCCCUACCCUGCUCGUACUCACGCCCCUGUGCCACGAGCUGUACCUGUUUCAAACCAGACGACGUGACGACGUACCCAAAGCGGGGCAGCGGCUUCGAACUAGCAGACCAACGUCCAGCUCACUUAUUCGCAAUCCGUCUACUCCUACGGCAUACGAGCGACCUCGGCACGGCUCCUUCUUCUUCGUCUGCCAAUCGUCUACUCAUCGGAUAUUAAUUAGUUCAUGACGAUCAAACUAGAUGAUGGUUCCAAUGAACCAAUCGAUAAUGAUGACGUAACAAGUAGAGGAUACUAUUACUCAAUUACUCUGAACCAAGCUGGAUAAAGAUCGCGAUAGACGGGAACGCAGUUGUUGUUACGUUAAGUUGGUUCUUUGUUAACACCCACUCACCAAGCCGUCACAAAGCUAACUGAGUCUUGACUACACUACACGGCUGCCAUCAUGAUACGUUUUUAAUUUUUUCGAACUGGUUAAAUACUACGAGAGGCUGUCUCUUCUGAUUGAGCGACAGUUCGAGGAAUCUUUGUAUAUUUUGCAACCACCAUGAUAUCGUCAUAUAUAAAAAACUUUGCCUCCGUUUUCAUAACGGAGUAGGUAAUUAAUUCUUCUUCUCUCGACGGCUCAAUUAAAUGCUUUUUGACCCAUUUUUGACAAUGUUCGAACGAGUUCUGUUAACUUGUUCGUGUAUGUAUGUUCAUGCGGUUGAUGAAGGCUUAGUACCUCAGUGUGCUGGUGUAUCCGUGCGGCUGUUUGUGUGGGUUGUGUUAAAAUUACAGUGAAGGGUUGUGUACCCAGAGUUGUAGUGUUUCUUUUGGGGUAACUCAACAACGUUGAACUUUCUUUGUGUAGCUAUUUUAGUUACAUGUGGUGGUUCGGGAGCGAACGUCUGAUCUUUAGACUAAGUAGUACCUUGUUGAACACUUAAGGGAAAACGUGGUAGGAAGAAUGAAAACCAGGACGAUCUAAAGAGGAACUCCUACGGUCCAACUCCUAAUUAUGGUGGAAAGAAUGUAAACAGGGAGUUACGAAAGAGGAACUUCUCUGUAGGUUAGCAGAAAGGUCUAAAUAGUCGUAGGUUAAGACGCUCUUUUAGUGUUUCGAACCGCCGUUUCUCCCGGGGUCCUAAUCCAUGGUGGUGUGGCCGGUGUUGUUAUAGGAGUGGGUGUCCUUGGUACUCAGGUGACCCGAAGCCGCUCACGUACUGUGAUCUUAGUGCUAUUGAGAAGAGAAGUAUAUUUCUACGAACCGAUCCUAGGCCUCACCAACCUCGCCCUCGGUUUCGGUAUUGGCUCCCGUGUUCGCUUGGUGGAACUUCUACGAGGGGAUCAUCGCCGCUUUGUCCAAGGAGUGUGUAAACAACUUCGAGCCCGUAUUAGACGUAGUGGCCUCGGUAAUGGUGCCAACACCGCAGUGGGUACCUCCAUCGCCCGCGGUUCCCGACCCGUCCGUUGCUGCCACCUGACCAAGAUCGUACUCCCCUCUUCGUCGGCAUCUCGAGGCGUUGAGAGAGCAGUCGUUUCAGUUGCAGUCAUAGCAGUAUCGUCCCAAAAAAAGGAAGUGUAGGUUUCUUUGUAUCUAGAAUAGGUCUGAUUAGAGACGUGCGAGGUCUUUCGAGAGUUUGGCUUAGUCUGUUGGUAGGUAUGUAAGUCGCUGUAGUGCGUCUCCGACCUGGCGGAUGAAGUCAACUUUACUUCGGUUUCCAUAAGCUGGAUGGGCGCUGGCUUCUCCAGUCCUAUUCCGGCUGCGUCGGCAGAAGAAGGAGAGCGACAACGAAGGAGAGAGAGAGAGAGAGAGAGAGAGAGAGAGAGAGAGAGAGAGAGAGAGAGAGAGAGAGAGAUCAAGCAGAGAUAAGAGAGGGGUGGUGCGCGGCUAGAGGAGGCAAAACGUAGGUAAAAGUUUAGGUUCGGUGUCUUUGUCAUCUAGCAGUGUUAAGGGCCACCGGAUGCCAGUAAAAAAAGGUUACCCUAUCCAAAAACACGCAUGUAGACUCCUCCUCGGUACCACCCGAUCUCCUCCACGCCGAACCCUCCACCACUCCUCCUGCACGCCGACCCCUCCUCCUCCACCACCCCUCCUCCAUGCUGACCCCACCAAAAGCCUCAACUUGGAGGCCAGCAGUACCCCGUCGCCACCACAACAGGUCACCACGCUCAUGAGGCGCUCCACCGGCCACGGCGACUCAACUUCUCUCCUCGUUCUUCGGUCUCUAUGUGAACCGCCUCCAUAUUGGUACAACAGCGUUCAAAAGCCACUCAACAUGUCAAAUCAAUCACAUCUAUUCAGUAUAACGCAAGAAGAUCACAAUUAAACAGAUACCACCGUAAAAUCGCCUACCAAUCACAUCGCCGAUUAUUAAAACAGGUAACUCUAAUUACUCUUGUACCGUUACAGAGUAUCCACUUUUUACAGACUUAGUCAUUUAAACUGACAAAUAAUGACUAUGCAGAGAUUGUAUAGAUAUUAAAAAAUAACAAGGUACGAUAAUAUAAUGGACAAAACCUACAAAUACCUGAAAUGAAAUGUGAAAAUCUAGUAAAAACCCUGAUUGGAUGAUUGGCCUCCGGCAUAACGACAAAAAAACGGAUAAAGUCACAAAGUUUCUUUUACUUAUAGUUUGCCUCAGGUCUGCCUUACUUUGGAAGCCCUCGCACUAAAAACCUUGCUUGCACUAGGUCUCCUGAACGUCACCUUCAGUUUGUUGUCGGCUCCGUAGGUGUUCCCACCUCCCGCGGGGGGAUGAUCCGCGCGGGGGAUAGAGCACCCGGGGAACCCGCAGGUGGCUGGAUGAAGAAGGAGGAUAUAUAUGGGUGCAUGGGGCUCUUGUAGUCCCCUCUUGCUUUUGGAUUAAGGUGGCAACGUUGGAAGACAUAGGCGCUCUAGGGUAGAACUUCGGAAGCACCACGAGGCGGCCUCUCCCUUAGCUGGUGCCUCCCGGAGAUGUAGUGCAGGUUCCGGAGAGGCUACUCAACACUCAUCAAAUGGUACCUGGAAGCCCAGGUAUCAAUAAUCGAUCUACCGAAGAAGAGAGAGAAACUUAGAGUUAUGGUACAAGAGGAACUAGAAGAACCUCUAGAUAAGCUACAUUGAGAAAAACGCCACACAAACAGUUCUAGGCUACUUAACACCCAAAUACUAGUUCAAAUAGAUACUCUUUAUAAACUUAGAGGAG